rnacentral:rRNA from 1 species
CAGUCGCCACGGUAAUACGGAGGGGGCUAGCGUUGUUCGGAAUUACUGGGCGUAAAGCGCACGUAGGCGGCUUGGUAAGUUAGAGGUGAAAGCCUGGAGCUCAACUUCAGAAUUGCCUUUAAGACUGCCGAGCUAGCAGGUGAGAGAGGUAAGUGGAAUUCCGAGUGUAGAGGUGAAAUUCGUAGGUAUUCGGAAGAACACCAGUGGCGAAGGCGGCUUACUGGCUCAUACUGGACGCUGAGGUGCGAAAGCGUGGGGAGCAAACAGGAUUAGAUACCCGCGUAGUCCCUGUCUCUUAUAC